UGCAAGUCGAACGAGAGAUGAGGAGCUUGCUCUUCAAAUCGAGUGGCGAACGGGUGAGUAACGCGUGAGGAACCUGCCUCAAAGAGGGGGACAACAGUUGGAAACGACUGCUAAUACCGCAUAAGCCCACGGCUCGGCAUCGAGCAGAGGGAAAAGGAGCAAUCCGCUUUGAGAUGGCCUCGCGUCCGAUUAGCUAGUUGGUGAGGUAAUGGCCCACCAAGGCGACGAUCGGUAGCCGGACUGAGAGGUUGAACGGCCACAUUGGGACUGAGACACGGCCCAGACUCCUACGGGAGGCAGCAGUGGGGAAUAUUGCACAAUGGGGGAAACCCUGAUGCAGCGACGCCGCGUGGAGGAAGAAGGUCUUCGGAUUGUAAACUCCUGUUGUUGAGGAAGAUAAUGACGGUACUCAACAAGGAAGUGACGGCUAACUACGUGCCAGCAGCCGC
rnacentral:rRNA from 1 species